GACGAAUGCUGGCGGCGUGCCUAAUACAUGCAAGUAGAACGCUGAAGGAGGAGCUUGCUUCUCUGGAUGAGUUGCGAACGGGUGAGUAACGCGUAGGUAACCUGCCUGGUAGCGGGGGAUAACUAUUGGAAACGAUAGCUAAUACCGCAUAAUAGCAGUUAUUGCAUGAUAACUGUUUGAAAGGUGCAAUUGCACCACUACCAGAUGGACCUGCGUUGUAUUAGCUAGUUGGUGGGGUAACGGCUCACCAAGGCGACGAUACAUAGCCGACCUGAGAGGGUGAUCGGCCACACUGGGACUGAGACACGGCCCAGACUCCUACGGGAGGCAGCAGUAGGGAAUCUUCGGCAAUGGACGGAAGUCUGACCGAGCAACGCCGCGUGAGUGAAGAAGGUUUUCGGAUCGUAAAGCUCUGUUGUAAGAGAAGAACGAGUGUGAGAGUGGAAAGUUCACACUGUGACGGUAUCUUACCAGAAAGGGACGGCUAACUACGUG
rnacentral:rRNA from 1 species